UCCUGGGAUGGCUCAGCAGGUAGAGCAGGAGACUCUUAACCUCAAGGUCGUGGGUUUGAGCCCCAUGUUGGGCA
rnacentral:tRNA from 1 species